rnacentral:lncRNA from 1 species
AGAGAAGCUUGGAGUUCUGAAGGUAGAGGACAUGCUGGUGGUGCUUGUGGAGAAGAAAUACCAUGUAGCCACUGGCCCCUCCCAUGGCACCCUGAAACACUGCAUCUCUCAGGACCAUGAGAUGGAGAACAAUCAAUUUUAUUUUCUGGUUUUCUAGCAUAAAAUAGCAAUAAUUCUCAUCAUUUAUAUGUUGUGAUAUAUUCAGACUUGUGCUUCUAAUGGAAUGGAUUAGGUUCGUACUGAUUAAAGCAUUGAGUAUCCAAAAGAAUGAGAAGAAUGGAAGGAUGUGCCAUGCAGACUUUGGCCUGAGUCUCCUCCACCCAGAUGUUCUGGGACUGAUGAUGAUGGCCUGGACCACAGUAAGGAGACUGCUGGUGCAGAUGGAGAGGCCCCGGGCCACCCUCUCUAGGCAGAAAAACUUGCAUCCAAGAUGGAAACACUUUUGGAAGGAAACCUCUUCAAUUGUAGACGUGGGUCUGGACAGCUCAGUUUGCACAAUAGCUUUUUCUGGAGUUAGCAAAACAGGAAUAGAGACAAAUACUGUUGCAGAUUAGGUCCCUGAAAC